rnacentral:rRNA from 1 species
GAUGAACGCUAGCUACAGGCUUAACACAUGCAAGUCGCGGGGCAGCAUGGGGGUUGCUUGCAAUCCCCGAUGGCGACCGGCGCACGGGUGAGUAACGCGUAUCCAACCUGCCCUUCACCACGGGAUAACCCGGCGAAAGUCGGACUAACACCGUAUGUUGUCCAUUGACGGCAUCCGAUUUGGACGAAAGGCUUGGCGGUGAGGGAUGGGGAUGCGUCCGAUUAGCCAGACGGCGGGGUAACGGCCCACCGUGGCUACGAUCGGUAGGGGUUCUGAGAGGAAGGUCCCCCACACUGGAACUGAGACACGGUCCAGACUCCUACGGGAGGCAGCAGUGAGGAAUAGUGGGCAAUGGGCGUAAGCCUGAACCAGCCAAGUAGCGUGCAGGAUGACGGCCCUAUGGGUUGUAAACUGCUUUUAUGCGGGGAUAAAGUGGCCCACGGGUGGGCUUUUGCAGGUACCGCAUGAAUAAGGACCGGCUAAUUCCGUG